AAAGGAAUAGACGGGGGCCCGCACAAGCGGAGGAACAUGUGGUUUAAUUCGAUGAUACGCGAGGAACCUUACCCGGGCUUAAAUUGCAAAUGAAUACUCUGGAAACAGGGUAGCCGCAAGGCAUUUGUGAAGGUGCUGCAUGGUUGUCGUCAGCUCGUGCCGUGAGGUGUCGGCUUAAGUGCCAUAACGAGCGCAACCCUCAUCUUUAGUUACUAACAGGUCAUGCUGAGGACUCUAAAGAGACUGCCGUCGUAAGAUGUGAGGAAGGUGGGGAUGACGUCAAAUCAGCACGGCCCUUACGUCCGGGGCUACACACGUGUUACAAUGGGAGGUACAACAGGCAGCUACACGGCGACGUGAUGCUAAUCCCCAAAACCUCUCUCAGUUCGGAUUGGAGUCUGCAACUCGACUCCAUGAAGCUGGAUUCGCUAGUAAUCGCGCAUCAGCCACGGCGCGGUGAAUACGUUCCCGGGCCUUGUACACACCGCCCGU
rnacentral:rRNA from 1 species